UAACUCAUGUUGCCCCUUCCCUCAUGGGGGGAGGCGACGUCUUGGGCCGCCGUCGGGUUCCUCUCGGGAGCCGGCGUGGCCUCAAAGCGAUCGGUCUGAAUCGGGGGACUAGAUCCUGUGGGACGUGACCCUGGCCGAGGGCGGACCGUCAAUCGAUUUGUUUUUG
rnacentral:misc_RNA from 1 species